ACACAGACUAACCUUGUCUCAGAAAACAAAACAAGAUUGAAAAAAGGAAGGACUUAUUUUUAAGAGAUGUGCUAUGAAAUAAUACCAUUGAAAACAAACUCCGAUUUCGACUAGUAUAUAGGGUUUUGGUUUUAUGAAAGUGGUUCAUGAAUGAUAUUUAACUGUUUCAAGGUGACAUAUUUAAUUAAGGUAGGUGUCAUUUUAAAGUGAUUUAUUGCCACUGACUGUGAAAUUAGCUGAUUGUAUUAGCUAGUUUGUAGAAUUUAAUUUAUGCAUAUUUCUGCUUUCCCCAAUGUCUUUACAUUUUCUUGUGUGUGAUAACAACAAAAGCCAAAUACAUGUGAGCAAUAAAACCUGGGGACAGUUCACAUCCCCUGAGUGUGGCGCCCACUCCUUUACCUGUCUGUUUUCCUUAUUUAUUACAAACAGCUUUAAGGUAUCAUAUGUGUGUUUGUGUAUGGAUGUUUCUUGUAAUCAUUUAUGUUUGCACGUUAUACAGUAGGAUUAUUUUAUAUAUGUAUGUAUGUAGUCUUCAGUGACAUUUUUAUUCUUGUUUUGUUUUGAGGCAGAGUCUUCUGUUGUAUCUUUGGCAGGCCUGGAACUCCUAGAGCUCUGCCUGCCUCGUCCUUCUGAGCGCCUGAAUUAGUUUUCAUCCUGUUGCCUUGUGUGUGCCCCUUCCACUGUCAUUGAACAUCCCAUCAAGACAAUAAAUAUAAGCUCUUGCUAUUUAAUAUUUGAUUAAAAUUCUUCUUAGUUUUAUCUGUUUUAACUCACAAGUUUCAACAUGGGCAUCUUUGAGAAGUUGUAAAUUAUGAGUUUUCUAGGAGGUGGAAUGUGUUUGACUUUGGAUUUCAGAAAUAAUUUUAUAGGCUGUUUCCCUGAAAGUUAUUGUUUUAUUUAUGCAACAUAUUCUUUGUUUUAGAUUUUCAGAGUUCUCUGGCGAGUGACCAUUUUGUUUUUAGUCUGUGAAUUUACAUUCAUUACUAAUGCCAUUGAAACUCUGUGAAACUUUCACACUUGAAAAUAAUAGAAUGUCACUAUUUAAAAUGUAAAAUGUCCAAUGCUGGAAAAUGUCCUAAUACUCUUACUGUUGGCAAGUUCCCAAGUUUAAACUAGAUUGUGUCAGUUUUUAAAAUAAAUUCUAGUGUCAUUUCAAAACCUAGAUAAAAAAAGGAGAAUGAAAACAUUGAACAGUUGUCUUUUCUGUCACGGGGCAAGCUUGUGUUAUACAAGUCUGCAUUUUGUCUCUGUUUCCUGUCAGCGUCUCAUGUGUGUGGUGUCGGAGGCUUAACUGAAAACAAGCUGUGGGCUCAGGAGGUGGCUCUGUCAGUUCUGCCCGCUUGCUUCUGCUUCUUUGCAGUUCUGAGGGUCUGAGUUUAGGUUCCUGACCCCUGGCUAAAGCCUGGUGCACAGCACAGCAGAGGUGUAGAUGAGAGGCGUGAGGAUUCCUGGAGCUUGCUGUUAGCUACUGUACUUUACUCGGGAGAUAGAGGUUCUAGGCCAGAGAGAGACCCAGCUCAGACAAGGGAAGGAAGGAAGGUGUCUGAGGAGUGACCCUUGAUGGCUUUUUCUGACAUCCAUGUACGCUGGUACCCUGCACAUAUGAAUACAUGCACACAAAGU
rnacentral:lncRNA from 1 species